CCGUGGGAGGCGCUGUUAGCGGUGGAAAAAGGGGGGCAUCUCUGUCCCACGCGCGCCGUCCAGUCUGUCACCUGGACCCACUGGUCAGACCUGCCGCCUGACGCUCGUCGUUCCCCAAGCAGCACCUUUCGGGUCGCGUAGUAAAUGAGGGUCAGCUGCCAGUUUGCGGGGCUAUGGGAUUCAGAGAAGAGCCAUGACUAGUGGGAGCAGGGCGGCGGCGCGAGGGAAGGGAUCGAGCACGGCGAUAUGAGGUGCUAGCCAUGGCGAUGGAUUUCCCCAUAGAUCCUGUGGACAGGCUUAGUGUGGUGGCCGGCAGCGCUGAUGGGGAAUCUAUGAACAGAUCCCGUGAAGACGAAGCAGCGGCGGCCCAGCCUGAGCUGAGAGAUUUCGCCCACAGCUUGUCUAGUCAGAUCGGGGCGGUGUAGAGCAGACGAUUGUGGCGCCUGUGUUUGGCGCCUUGUCGGCGUUCUGCUAGAGCGAUGGCGACAACGGAAAUGUUGUAGAGCAGAAAGCUGUUGAAGGGCCAGAUCGUGGUGACCGACUAGUUGUGAUGCAGGCUCCGUGCAGUCUAGGCAAAAUGGAUCUGCAACCGCCGGGCUGGACGAAUAGGUGAGCAAUUCCAGCAUCAGUUCUAGGUGAAAAAUAAAAGUAGCGUAGCUGUCGGCUGUGCUAAUUAGGGAUCGCAUUUCUGGCCAGGAAGAUAAGCACGAAAUUUUUUGUAGAGUACAUUGUGUCAAUUGUUCCCAGAUUCAGUGACCGCAUCAUGAGCAAAAAAGUGGGAAAAUUAACUUAUGAACUGUCA